GAUUUUUAUAGGUGAGGAAAGUGCUAGUGGCUUUUGUGUCGAGGAGGAGUAGAAUCGGUGGGGUAUACCGAGUGCCAGGCAAGAGAGUGCAUCCGCAAGAAAUCCAUGCUUGUGCUGAAAGGGUGUCCAAGUGGGUCUAGUGAACUCUUCUCUAUUCACAAGGUAUAUUGUUUCUAUGGGGAACAUUUCCUUUAUUAUCAUAGAAGAUAUUAAUGUGACAG
rnacentral:misc_RNA from 1 species